UACGUAGGGGGCAAGCGUUGUCCGGAAUCAUUGGGCGUAAAGCGCGUGUAGGCGGCCCGGUAAGUCCGCUGUGAAAGUCGGGGGCUCAACCCUCGAAUGCCGGUGAAUACUGUCGGGCUAGAGUGCGGAAGAGGCGAGUGGAAUUCCUGGUGUAGCGGUGAAAUGCGCAGAUAUCAGGAGGAACACCAAUUGCGAAGGCAGCUCGCUGGGACGUGACUGACGCUGAGACGCGAAAGCGUGGGGAGCAAACAGG
rnacentral:rRNA from 1 species